AACAUUGUAAGAUCCAUCUCUAUUAAAAAAAAUAAGAAAUUAUUAGUGACUUUAAAAAAGUAAUGAAAUAUUACUUUGGGCAUAAUUAUAUUUCUGUCUUUAUAUGUUCUGUUUAUGUUUUUAGCAACACAAAAUUUGAAUGUAAGAUUCCUAUUUCUUUUUUUUUUUUUUUUUCCACAAGGUUUUGCUCUGUUGCCCAAGCUGAAGUGCACUGGUAUGAAGUUUGUUAGAAUGUGCUUGAAAUAAAUCUAAGUAGCUUUGAGUGAGAAAGAGCUAGAUAUGCCCUUCUGAAUAAAAUUCAGCAGGGCUAAUGCAUAGAUUUUAUGUCAUCUCUAUUGACUGCUCAGAUUCUUAGAGAAAAUUUGUAUAUAUUUAGCAUUUUCAACAAAAAAAUUGUUCUUUAAUUCCUUAUACCCUAUAAAGAGGCUUGUUUUCUAAAGUAAAGGUAUGUAUUGAAUUAUUACAAACUUCUGAAAUCCUUGAUAGGUUCUCCUAUGAUGAACUCUAACAUGAAAUCAGAAGGAAAAGAUUAUCACUGUGGCCAUGCUGAUUGCAAAUAACUAUGCUCAUAAUGCUUCCAGGUUCAGUGCUAUCAGCAAGUCUCUCCCACCCUGGGUUCUAACCACCCCCGACCUUGGAAAGAGAGGGAGAGGGAGACGGUGGAAAGAGAGGGAGAGGGAGACCGUGGGGAG
rnacentral:lncRNA from 1 species